rnacentral:rRNA from 1 species
CAAUAGCGUAUAUUAAAGUUGUUGCAGUUAAAAAGCUCGUAGUUGGAUUUGUGGCGUACGGUGUGUUCCGGGCACUUGUUGUCUGAGUAACCUGCUGUUGCCAUCCUUGGGUGGAACCUGUGUGGCAUUAGGUUGUCGUACAGGGGAUGCCCAUCAUUUACUGUGAAAAAAUUAGAGUGUUCAAAGCAGGCUUAUGCCGUUGAAUAUAUUAGCAUGGAAUAAUGAGAUAGGACUUUUUUGCUAUUUUGUUGGUUUGCGCAAAGAGGUAAUGAUUAAUAGGGACAGUUGGGGGUAUUCGUAUUCCAUUGUCAGAGGUGAAAUUCUUGGAUUUUUGGAAGACGAACUACUGCGAAAGCAUUUACCAAGGAUGUUUUCAUUAA